rnacentral:lncRNA from 1 species
CCCUCCUGUCUUCCCGCGCCCCGCUCCCUUCCCCGCACCCGGGCUUCCGGCCGGCGACUCACGAGCCCUGUCCCCGUCCGCCACGGGCGGCCGGUGCCCAGGCUGCGCCCUCGCACCCCUCCAGCAAGUGGCAGGAAGUCUCAGGAACUGGCCCCGGGACGGAAAGGGCAGCUGUGCGCGCCUGGCCGAGACUCCCCGUAGUGGUGAUGGUGUUGGGAAGCACAGCGUGCGGUUUUCCCUUUAGUUUAAGGGGAAAACGGAGAAUAGGCUGAGGGGAGCAGGGACGUGGCCUCCCCCGAGAGUCACCGGUGAGUGACUAUCACCCGAUCUACUAGAAAGGGACCAUCACCUCCCCAAACGCACGCAGACAGACCGGUCGGAGGUCAGAAUUGAUCUUUUCAGGGCACAGUUCACCUCCUGUAUGGAUGUGUCCCAAGAUUGCAGGAUUUCCAAGAAAUCCAGCCUGUCCCUGAUGCACUUGUGAAUAAUUCCACAAGCAAGCACUUCGGGACUCUGAGUUAUCCCGAGCCUGCCCGGGACUUUUCCAGCUCUCCAGCCCCGAUCUCCUGACAUUGUAUUCCAGGCUCCUGGCUAAGCUAGUUAGUGUUUGCUUCCUAUUCUUUCCAUCGAGGGAAGCGAACGCCACCCCCCACCCGCAUUUGCCUCUGAGCCUCCCUCGCUGGCAGGAGGGAAGCCUUCCCGGUCCCGGGAGGAAAAUGGCGCAGCUACUUUGGCUAGGAGAGCCGGCCCCGCCCCCGGCAAGCAGAAGAUGUUUAGAGCUGGUCUGUCUCUUGUGGAUGCCUGUAAGAGUUCUCUAGAGACCUACCCACCACCAACUCAUGGUAUUACAACUGAAUCUCAUCCUAGGUGAGUUCACUAUUCCAGCAGCCACACACUCCCUGCUCAUUACGGGCUAAGGUAAGAAGCAAUCCCUCUGCUAGGAAGCUCUACUAGGUGGAAUCUCAGGUCUUCCCCACCCCAGCUUCCUCUUGCUUGUGGGCCACAUCUGGUGCAAGGAUGACAUGCAAGUGUCCUUUUUCGGGACAAACCCUGGGAGCAAGCCAGUCUCUUGCCUUCUGGAUGUCCUUGGAGGGAAUCCUAACUGCC